rnacentral:tRNA from 29 species
CGGGGUAUAGCGCAGCCUGGUAGCGCACCAGUCUGGGGGACUGGUGGUCGUCGGUUCGAAUCCGGCUACCCCGACCA